CAACAGGGAUUGCCCUAGUAACGGCGAGUGAAGCGGCAACAGCUCAAAUUUGAAAUCUGGCUCUUUCAGAGUCCGAGUUGUAAUUUGCAGAGGGCGCUUUGGCUUUGGCAGCGGUCCAAGUUCCUUGGAACAGGACGUCACAGAGGGUGAGAAUCCCGUACGUGGUCGCUAGCUAUUGCCGUGUAAAGCCCCUUCGACGAGUCGAGUUGUUUGGGAAUGCAGCUCUAAAUGGGAGGUAAAUUUCUUCUAAAGCUAAAUAUUGGCCAGAGACCGAUAGCGCACAAGUAGAGUGAUCGAAAGAUGAAAAGCACUUUGGAAAGAGAGUCAAACAGCACGUGAAAUUGUUGAAAGGGAAGCGCUUGCAGCCAGACUUGCUUGCAGUUGCUCAUCCGGGCUUUUGCCCGGUGCACUCUUCUGUAGGCAGGCCAGCAUCAGUUUGGGCGGUGGGAUAAAGGUCUCUGUCACGUACCUCUCUUCGGGGAGGCCUUAUAGGGGAGACGACAUACCACCAGCCUAGACUGAGGUCCGCGCAUCUGCUAGGAUGCUGGCGUAAUGGCUGUAAGCGGCCCGUCUUGAAACACGGACCAAGGAGUCUAACAUCUAUGCGAGUGUUUGGGUGUCAAGCCCGAGCGCGUAAUGAAAGUGAACGGAGGUGGGAACCCGCAAGGGUGCACCAUCGACCGAUCCUGAAGUUUACGGAAGGAUUUGAGUAAGAGCAUGGCUGUUGGGACCCGAAAGAUGGUGAACUAUGCUUGAAUAGGGUGAAGCCAGAGGAAACUCUGGUGGAGGCUCGCAGCGGUUCUGACGUGCAAAUCGAUCGUCAAAUUUGGGCAUAGGGGCGAAAGACUAAUCGAACUAUCUAGU
rnacentral:rRNA from 3 species